rnacentral:lncRNA from 1 species
CUGCUACCCAGUUUUACCUUUGCAUUGGAUAUCAUAGUAGUUUCUGUGCAAAAUAUCAAGUCCAUCAGAUGGUGAAGCAGAAGGGAACAAAAGGAAAAACAUGAUGAAAUAUGAAAAUAUUUAUUUGGUAAAAUAUGAAAAUACUCCAACUAAUAGCCAAUAAUCAACUUAUAUUUUGUAAGGUGGUGAAAGGAUUAUCAGAUUAUUAUUAUUAGGAUGAUGACAGAAAGAAUAAGAAUAGCUUACAUUUUACUGAGUCUCAGGCACUGUAAGGUGUUUAAUCUCAAAUCUAGAAGAAACUCUGAAAAUUAUCUAGUCUAGGAUAUGUGCAAUAUAAUUGAAAAAAAUGAGCACAGAAAAGUCAAGUGACAUGUUGAGAGUCAGUGGGAGUCAGGCUGCCAAGUCUAGUUAUGCCACUAUAAAGGACUUUUGGUCUCUUUCUUAAUAUUUUAUAAAAUAACUGUGGUCUCUUUGUGUACAUUACUCCUUGGGAAAUUCAUUUUUUAAUCAUACCAUUAAAAAAUUAGUUUCACACUAUUUUUUUCAAAAAUGGCUUUACAUACCCAAAUACUAAAUGUUCCUUCAAUUCAAAUGAUGGCCCAUAAGCUAUGAAAGUAAUAGUUAAGGAUGAAGAGGGAAAUAUAUUUUCUAAUUCUACUAGAGAGAAAAGGAAGAACAGUACUUCUCUCUACCAAAAAUAAAAGGAAAAAGAAAACCCACAAUUUCAAGAGAAGUUUAUAUUGGCAAGAGGUGGGAGAGGGUGGAAGGAUAGACACCUAAUUCAAAGAAAAAGAAGGAAGGGAAAAGUGUUACAAUGCAGAGUGCGAGACUCAGUCUUCUUUUCAAUGUACACAAACCUCAGCAGACAGCUGGAAAAUUGCCAGAGAAGGAGGUCUUGGAAACAAGCUGGAAGACAUUGGAGAGACUUUAACCAAAACAAACACCAGCAGGGGAUGUGGUUGGCAGCACUGAAAAAGCAAAGGACUCUAUGAGUCACUUUGCCAUUAAUUUUGAAUGGUAUGAUGCUUCCAUUUUGUUGUACAGUUUACAUACACAGCAUUUGG